rnacentral:rRNA from 1 species
GAUGAACGCUGGCGGCGUGCCUAAUACAUGCAAGUCGAGCGAACGGACGAGAAGCUUGCUUCUCUGAUGUUAGCGGCGGACGGGUGAGUAGCACGUGGAUAACCUACCUAUAAGACUGGGAUAACUUCGGGAAACCGGAGCUAAUACCGGAUAAUAUUUUGAACCGCAUGGUUCAAAAGUGAAAGACGGUCUUGCUGUCACUUAUAGAUGGAUCCGCGCUGCAUUAGCUAGUUGGUAAGGUAACGGCUUACCAAGGCAACGAUGCAUAGCCGACCUGAGAGGGUGAUCGGCCACACUGGAACUGAGACACGGUCCAGACUCCUACGGGAGGCAGCAGUAGGGAAUCUUCCGCAAUGGGCGAAAGCCUGACGGAGCAACGCCGCGUGAGUGAUGAAGGUCUUCGGAUCGUAAAACUCUGUUAUUAGGGAAGAACAUAUGUGUAAGUAACUGUGCACAUCUUGACGGUACCUAAUCAGAAAGCCACGGCUAACUACGUGCCAGCAGCCGCGGUAAUACGUAGGUGGCAAGCGUUAUCCGGAAUUAUUGGGCGUAAAGCGCGCGUAGGCGGUUUUUUAAGUCUGAUGUGAAAGCCCACGGCUCAACCGUGGAGGGUCAUUGGAAACUGGAAAACUUGAGUGCAGAAGAGGAAAGUGGAAUUCCAUGUGUAGCGGUGAAAUGCGCAGAGAUAUGGAGGAACACCAGUGGCGAAGGCGACUUUCUGGUCUGUAACUGACGCUGAUGUGCGAAAGCGUGGGGAUCAAACAGGAUUAGAUACCCUGGUAGUCCACGCCGUAAACGAUGAGUGCUAAGUGUUAGGGGGUUUCCGCCCCUUAGUGCUGCAGCUAACGCAUUAAGCACUCCGCCUGGGGAGUACGACCGCAAGGUUGAAACUCAAAGGAAUUGACGGGGACCCGCACAAGCGGUGGAGCAUGUGGUUUAAUUCGAAGCAACGCGAAGAACCUUACCAGGUCUUGACAUCCCUCUGACCGCUCUAGAGAUAGAGUUUUCCUUCGGGACAGAGGUGACAGGUGGUGCAUGGUUGUCGUCAGCUCGUGUCGUGAGAUGUUGGGUUAAGUCCCGCAACGAGCGCAACCCCUAUUGUUAGUUGCCAUCAUUCAGUUGGGCACUCUAGCGAGACUGCCGGUAAUAAACCGGAGGAAGGUGGGGAUGACGUCAAAUCAUCAUGCCCCUUAUGACCUGGGCUACACACGUGCUACAAUGGCUGGUACAACGAGUCGCAAGCCGGUGACGGCAAGCUAAUCUCUUAAAGCCAGUCUCAGUUCGGAUUGUAGGCUGCAACUCGCCUACAUGAAGUCGGAAUCGCUAGUAAUCGCGGAUCAGCACGCCGCGGUGAAUACGUUCCCGGGCCU